GACGAACGCUGGCGGCGUGCCUAACACAUGCAAGUCGAGCGGAGUCGAUCGACGGAAGCCUUCGGGCGGAAGAUGGUUGACUUAGCGGCGGAUGGGUGAGUAACGCGUGGGCAACCUGCCUCGAAGACCGGGAUAACAGCUCGAAAGGGCUGCUAAUACCGGAUGUGGUCAAGGAUCCGCAUGGAUUUUUGAUUAAAGGGGAAACCCGUUUCGAGAUGGGCCCGCGUCCUAUCAGCUAGUUGGUGAGGUAAAAGCUCACCAAGGCGACGACGGGUAGCCGGCCUGAGAGGGUGACCGGCCACACUGGAACUGAGACACGGUCCAGACUCUUACGGGGGGCAGCAGUGGGGAAUCUUCCACAAUGGGCGAAAGCCUGAUGGAGCGACGCCGCGUGAGCGAAGAAGGCCUUCGGGUUGUAAAGCUCUGUCUGGAGGGACGAAGGAAGUGACGGUACCUCCGGAGGAAGCCACGGCUAACUACGUG
rnacentral:rRNA from 1 species